GGGUUGGCCGAGUGGUUAAGGCGUUGGACUUAAGUUCCAAUGGACAAGUGUCCGCGUGGGUUCGAACCCCCACACCC
rnacentral:tRNA from 1 species